rnacentral:ncRNA from 1 species
ACAGCGAAAGCAUUUGCCAAGAAUGUUUUCAUUGGUCACGAACGAAGUUAGAGGUUCGAAGACGAUCAGAUACCGCCCUAGCUCUAACCAUAAAUGAUGCCUUUUAGCAAUCCACCUGAGUUACUCAAAUGAAUUGGCAUGCAGCUUCCGGGAAGCCAAAGUAUUUGGGUUAUGGGGAAAGUAUGGUUGCAAAGCUGAAACUUAAAGGAAUUGACAGAAGGGCACCACCAGGAGUGGAGCCUGUGGCUUAAUUUGACUUAAAGGGACAAUGAAGACGAUUUUAUUUAAUUCUUUUAAAUGGUGUUUUUAUGCUUCUUGGGAACAUAGCGUGCUGCCCAAUUUUUUGUAGACAUUUGUGACGCGUAUUUUUUUGCCUACGAAAGAAGUAAAGAAACCGAAACUGAACAAUCUCCGUUCUCGUUUCUGGGCCUCCGAAAACGGAGGUGACGAAGCGAGUGACGUCAAGUGUGAAUAGUCGGUAUCGGUAGCAUUUAGGAGAUCGAGACUUUGGUUACCGCGGUGGGUUAUAGCAGCGCGGUGGGGCGGUCGUUUCGCCGAAUCUAAAGGCACGUUCACACUUGCGACAUGGGACAGUCGUUGAAGCGACUAGCGACAAGCGACUGGCGACCACCAGUGUUCACACCUGAUUGAGUGACCGACGAGUCGCCAGGCUCGCUGCCAACUAAUCAACACCUUUUCGAGCCGGCUGAAAGGUUUUUCUGAUUAAAGGUGCCGGCAGGAAAUAACAAGAAAACGUAAUGGUGCUUCGGAACGUAAACGACGGCUAUAUG